ACCUAUUCCUAAUCUCGUCGAUAAAAAAAUUCUUAUUGCUCUGAAAUCGAAUCCACCAUCACUCUCACUCUCACUCUCACUUUCAUUCUCAGUGCUCUGGAUUUUUCAAUCUCGCUCUGCCUCCUCAAUCUCUCAGAUCUCCGAAUCUCUCGAUCUUGUUCUGCCUCCUCAAUUUUUGGUUUUGCCUCCUCUCGAUCUCUCUCUCUGCCUCGUUGAUCUCAUGCAUGAUUCAAUCACACACUCAAUCUCAUUCCAAUAAGGUCAACUCAUAAGAGAUGUUUAAUUUGAGAAGGUAGGAACCCUAAAAUUGAUUGCGAUGGGGCGAGAAAAGAUUGCAAUUUGAAGGAUCGACAAUUCAACGAGCUGGCAAGUAACAUUUUCGAAAAGAAGGAAUGGAUAGGUGAAGAAAGCUAAAGAAUUAUCCAUUCUCUCUAAUGUGAAGUGGAUUGAUUGUGUUCUCUAGCACUGGCAAGCUUUAUGAAUAUGCAAGCACCAGAAAUUCUUUUGUGGAGGAAGGUUGAUAUUUGGACCUGAUGCUAGAUCUCUGCUUGUCACCUUAUUACUGAUUAUUGGUCCAGUUUUCCUCUUUUGUGUAUUUAUAGCAAGGCAUCUUCGGCGUGAAUUUCCUUCAUACGAUAUUGGAUAUGCUAAAGCAGACAGAGUUUAGGGGUCCUACUACUGUUGGGCAGAUAUCAGAGCAUGUGAAGAUGCUAUUGUUUAUUUAGAUGCUGAUUCUACAGAGAGUUUCUAGUUUAUAGGGGCAUAUCCUAUACUUCUUGAUCUUGGAGCACAAGCUAUCUGCAGUUUGAAAAGUAUGUCAGUAGUUGAUGUGGUAAGUAGUAGUUUCAUAUUUGAUCAACAUUGUCUUUACUCUGUGUACUUACAGUAGGAUGUUUCACAUUUGAUUAAUCAUUGAAAGGGCAGAAAAUGUAGUCCUUUUUCGGUUGGCAACACCCACAGUGACCAAUUAAUCCAAUUCGGAGCCUAGUUAGAAUUAAGGCUCUUCAAUCUCCAAGGAGUGUGUUUAGUGAGAAUCAAACUUAGACCUAAUCUUUUUUUUAAUAAAGAAGAGUAUAUAUCUAUAAAAAAUAAAAUAAAAUUGAAGAUUUACUGGUUGAUGGCCAAUCUUAUAGUUCAUUAUUUCCAUAUCUAAACUUGUUACAGACUUUAAGUAACAAUUAAUUGAGGAAAGAUAUAUGGUUUCAAUCAAAUACAAGCAAGUCAUUAACAUUUGUAACUGACUAGUAAUGAUCAGUGUAUGCUAGGUUUAGAAUUUUGUUUUUAGUUUUUGAUAUUGAGAAUUGAAAUUAUCAAAUAAAUUCCAAGCAGAGAUACCAAUUCCAAGUUUUGGUGCUAUAUGAAUUCUGGUGUCUUGUUGGCUUGAUCAUGAUGUGUAUUAAUAUACGUUUCUCAAUUUCAUCCACUAGCUCAGAUUAAUGUGUGAGCAAAAAAUAUUUGUACCUUGUAUAAUUGUAGCAACUCCUCAUCAAUUAUAAUAAACUUUAAUUUAUGGUUCGCUGUA